UGUAUUCAACGAAGUCUAUAGCCUUGGGCCACGUGCCCGGUAAUCUUUGAAAAUUUCAUCGCGGAUGGGGAUAGAUCAUUGCAAUUGUUGGUCUUCAACGAGGAAUUCCUAAUAAGCGCCGAGUCAUCAUUUCGCGUUGACUACGCCCCCGCCCUUUGUACACACCGCCCAUCGCUUCCUACCGAUUGAAUGGUCGGCGAAGUGUUGAAGGAUCGAGGCGGCGGGGCGGUUCACGCCGCCUGACGACGUCGCAAGAAGUCCACUGAACCUUAUCAUUUAGAGGAAGGAGAAGUCGUAACAAGGUUUCCGUAGGUGAACCUGUAGAAGGAUCAUUGUCGAGACCCACAAACGAGGACGACCGUGAAUGCGUCAAUGAUUGCUCGCCGUGCCCCACGGGGUACACGUGCGACCAAGGCAUCGGCCAGUGGGCUCCCCAUCUGACCCGUCUUGAAACACGGACCAAGGAGUCUGACAUGCGUGCGAGUCGACGGGUGUGGAAACCCGGAAGGCACAAGGAAGCUAACGGGCGGGAACCCUCUCGAAGGGUUGCACCGCCGCCAAUUCCGAUCUUCCGUGGAAGGGUUCGAAGUUGCAGCAUGCAUGUCGGGACCCCAAAGAUGGUGAACUAUGCCCGAGCGAGGCGGCCGCCGAGGAAACUCGGUGGAGGCCCGGCGAUCUUCGACGUGCAAAUCGUUCAUUCCGACUUGGGUAUAGGGGCGAAAGACUAAUCGAACCAUCUAGUAGCUGGUUCCCUCCGAAGUUUCCCUCAGGAUAGCUGGAGCCCAUGUGCGAAGUUCUAUCGGGUAAAGCCAAUGAUUAGAGGCAUCGGGCGCAACGGCCUCGACCUAUUCUCAAACUUUAAAUAGGUAGGACGGCGCGGCUGCCGUUGAGCAGCGUCGCGGAAUCGAGCUCCAAGUGGGCCAUUUUUGGUAAGCAGAACUGGCGAUGCGGGAUGAACAGGAAGCCGUUACGGUGCCCAAUCCGCUAACCCGCAUACACCACAAAGGGUGUUGGUCGAUUAAGACAGCAGGACGGUGGUCAUGGAAGUCGAAAUCCGCUAAGGCGUGUGUAACAACUCACCCGCCGAAUCAACUAGCCCCGAAAAUGGAUGGCGCUGAAGCGCGACCACACACCGGCCAUCGUGGCGAAAGCCAAGCCCCGGCGAGUAGGGAGGGGCGGCGGUCGCCAGAAAACCAGGGCGCUGAAGCCCGUCGCGAGCUACCGGUGCAGAUCUGGUGGUAGUAGCAAAUAUUCAAAUGAGAACUUUGAAGGUCGAAGAGGGGAAAGGUUCCAUGUGAACGGCACUUGCACAUGGGUUAGCCGAUCCUAAGGGGACGGGGAAGCCUGUCCGGAGAGUUGUCUCCACGCCGAGUCUCAAAGGGAAUCGGGUUAAAAUUCCCGAGCCGACGCCGGCGCGGAAAAAAAACGUUAGGAAGUCCGGAGAGACGCGGGGACUUCGGGAAGAGUUAUCUUUUCUGCUUAACCACCCUGCCACCUGAAACGGCUCAGCCGGAGGUAGGGUCCAGUGGUCGGAAGAGCGCCGCGAUGUCGCUGGCGUCCGGCAGCCCCUUUUUGCCCUUUGAAAACCGGAGGACCGAGUGUCGCCCGCGCCGAUCGCAUUCAUAACCGCAUCAGUCUCCAAGGUGAACAGCCUCGCCCAUGGAACAAUGUAGGCGGGGGAAGUCGGCAAAACGGAUCAAAACUUUCGGAAAAUGAUUGGUUUCUAAGGGCUGGGCACGGGGUCCCGCCUGAACCCGUCGGUUGUCGGCGGAUCGUUCGAGCUGCUUCGCGGUGAGAGCGGGUCGCCACGCGUCGGGCGGGGGACGGACCGGAAUGGCCCCUCGGGGGCCUUCCCCGCGCGUCGAACACCGACCUUUAACCGGUAUGACAAAGGGGAAUCCGGAUCGUUUAAUUAAAAACAAAGAAUUGCGAUGGUCCCCGCGGAUGCUCACGAAUGUGAUUUCUGCCCAGUGCUCAAUGUCAAAGUGAAGAAAUUCAACCAAAGCGGUAAACGACGGGAGUAACUAUGACUCUCUUAAGGUAGCCAAAUGCCUCGCCAUCUAAUUAGUGACGCGCAUGAAUAGAUUAACGAGAUUCCCCACCGCCCCUCGCUUUACUAUCCAAUAAAACCACAGCCAAGGGAACGGGCUUGGCAGAAUAAGUGGGGAAAGAAGACUCUGUUGAGCUUGACUCUAGUCCGACUUUGUGAAAUGACUUGAGAGGUGUAGGAUAAGUGGGAGCCGGUUCGCCGGCGGAAGUGAAAUACGACUACUUUUAACGUUAUUUUACUUAUUCCGUGAGUCGGAGGCGGGGCUCGGCCCCUCCUUUUGGACCCAAGGCCCGCCUAGCGGGCCGAUCUGGGCGGAAGACAUUGUCAGGUGGGGAGAUUGGCUAGGGCAGCACAUCUGAUAAAAGAUAACGCAGGUGUCCUAAGAUGAGCUCAACGAGAACAUAAAUCUCAUGUGGAACAAAAGGGUAAAAGCUCGUUUGAUUCUGAUUUCCAGUACGAAUAUGAACCGUGAAAGUGUGGCCUAUCGAUCCUUUAGACCUUCGGAAUUUGAAGCUAGAGGUGUCAGAAAAGUUACCACAGGGAUAACUGGCUUGUGGCAGCCAAGCGUUCAUAGCGACGUUGCUUUUUGAUCCUUCGAUGUUGGCUCUUCCUAUCAUUGUGAAGCAGAAUUCACCAAGUGUUGGAUUGUUCACCCACCAAUAGGGAACGUGAGCUGGGUUUAGACCGUCGUGAGACAGGUUAGUUUUGUUAGGAUCGGAGCGGCACUAAGAGGGGGGGGUGAAUUAGUGUUGGAUUAAAACUUCAGUUUUAAUAAAUCUUUCGACGAUAAGAAUAAUGUUUCGCUUUGAAACCGCGUUUCAAUUGCGUUGAAAGUUUAACGUAAUAAGAUGAGGGCAGUGAACUUAGCAAAGUAAAGGUUUGCAGAAAGAUAAAUGCAUAAACAUAAACGCGAAACCGGAGAUUACGCCGAUUUUAGAGUGGUUCGGUCAAAUGACCUACAUCCACUGGCAUGAGGCCCCUCUUCGAUGAGGCUCCCACCUUCCACUAGCAAAUCUCUUGAAA
rnacentral:rRNA from 1 species